CCUUUUUUGACUUGAUACGCUAGUACAGUGCCGAAAGCCUAAACAAGAAGAAGAAAAGUAAAGUUUUGACAAGCUGCAAUGUCGAAACAGACGAAGAUUCAGGCACGAAAGGGGGCUAAUGCUUCAGCCGCUAGCGGUAGCCAAGCAGAGUACUCGCCGCCACAAGCUAGCGGAACCUCACCGGACAUGGACAUGACUGCUCUCAUCCACAAGAUAACGCAAAACUUCAGCGAAGUGAUGGAGGAGAAACUCGAUAAGUUUUCCAACAUGCUAGAAAAGAUUUCCUCGACCUUAGAGAGCCAGUCGAAGCGUAUUACUGCCGCGGAGCAACGUGUCUCAGAUGUGGAGGACGUAGUGACAGACCCAGAGACCAGACUCGCCUCCGCGGAAAUGAAAAUAAAGCAAAUGGCUGAUGGCAUAGAUGAUCUGGAGAACCGAAGUAGGCGAGACAAUAUUCGUAUCCUCAACUUGGAAGAAGGCACAGAGGGAAAGGAGCCUAUACAGUUUUUUGAAACCUGGCUGCCUACCGUGCUUGGACUGUCUACAAGCGCCGAGAAGAGCCGUAUUAAGAUCGACCGGGUGCACCGCAGCCUGGGGCCGAGGGGAGCGCGCCCUCGGCCGGUGAUAAUAUAACUUCAUAACCCCAGGGACAAGCUGAGGAUGAUGGCAGCGGCGAGGAAGAAGCCUGACCUGGAGCACGACGGGAGGCGGAUCCUCAUUCAUCAGGAUUUGUCUCCCGUGAUCAGAGGGAAACGCCGCGCCUUCAACGACGUGUGUCGGGCCCUGAUAAGCAAAGGAAUCCGGUUUGGGAUGCGCUUCCCCGCCACGCUUACCGUGAACCACAAUGGCAAGGAACACAGGUUCGAGGCAAGGGGAGAUGCUGAGGACUUUCUGAAGACGUUGGGCUAGAGGUUGACUCGGGGCUGCACAUCAUCUUAUGAGUUUACAUGUCUGCACAAUGAGGUUCUGAGUAAGUUAUUAUACUGAUACGGAGGCUAUACAUCUCUGACAGAGUAUCAGUGUGAUUGGACAGUAAGAGGGGGUAAAAGGAAAAACAAGGCCUGUUUUAAUCUAUACGCUAAGCUAUGUUAAUGUUAGGCUAAGCCAGUCCUUCUCAAAUAGGGGGGGCGCGAGUGCUUGCUCUUGUUGUAUUCGAUGAAAGUGUAAUUGCACAUCCAGAACGUAGGUGGCAGUGUUGCUCUCAUUGUGCGCACUAUUAUCUCGGUGGUGUUUUUUAACAGAGCCGGCGGUAAGAGAUGUAAACAAACUGAGGGAACAUGGAAAAAUAUUUGACAGGGAUGAAAAGAAAGGCCGUUAGAGAGGAAGAUAAUGAGACAAAGGAAAGUCACUCAAAACCCAAGACAAGGAAAUAUGACAACACGUAUGUAGCGCUGGGCUUCACUGUAACUACGGUCGGGGACGAGGAAAGACCGGUGUGUUUAUUGUGUCUAAAAUGUUGGCAGCGGACAGCAUGAAGCCGAAUAAAUUAAGGCGUCACUUAAACACAGUACAUCCCAAUCAUGCCGACAAACCGCUUGAGUUUUUUCAGAGAAAACACGCCGAAUAUUGCCAGCAAUCAUCCCGUUUUUUGACUGCUACGUCAGUUAACCAACGAGCACUGUUAGCAUCAUAUAAGGUAGCGCACCAAACUGCUCAGUGCAAGAAACCCCACACCAUCGCAGAGGAGCUGAUACUGUCUGCAGCAGUAGACAUGGUCUCUGUCAUGCUGGAUGAUGCAAGUGCUGCAAAACUAAAAACUAUCUUGUAAGAGACUAAGAAACAAUGUUAAUAAAGUUAUUCCUUGUUGCAAGUUGAUCUAUAUGUCUUUUUUUCCUUUUCUCUGUACAUAUAAGAAGUUUUGGACAAAUGAUACUAAUUGUAAUCGUGUCGGGGGGGCCUGCAACAUUUUCUUCUUCCUAAGGGGGGCCUAACAGAAAACAAUUGAGAACCACUGGGCUAAGCUAAGUUUUUUUUCUACGGUUAUUCCUAAUAUUUUGAGUUAACAUUUCGUGUCGCAGUCACAGGCACUAGAUUGUUGGUUGAGAGAGGAUGACGCUACAUUCAUUUAAAUUACCAGAAUAUAGACAUGUAUAUCAAUAUUUGUAUCUUGUGGGAGUGGGAAGUGUUAAAAUAAUUCUGCGAUAAUUUAGAACUGGAGGAAGGAGAUCGGAAUCAGCUCAAGGUUCAAACAAGGUUUUAAUCUUGUACAAGAGGAGCAUUCACAGAGCAACACGCAGGUCUGUUACAAAGUGAAGACUCAACAUGUGAAGAGAAAAGCAUGGUAUUUAUCCCUCUCUGUGGGUGUGUUUUUCCACUCCGAUAGUUCCUAAUUUAUGACCUGCACUUAAAGAAAUACUUCACAGAGAAGGAAGUGAUAAGCUCCAGUGGUCACUCAACACCAGACAUAGGUAAUAAAACGACAUAAAACAAGGUCACAAGUUGCAGGUCAUGUUAAACAACUCCAUUGAACAUUCCUGUGUCAGACUUCAGUUCACAUCUCUGUUUUAAGUACAAAAUUUCCAUCACAGGAAGGAAGUGUGGAGAUUGUUUGGGUAGCUUUUUUUCUUUCUAUUUUCUUUGGGUUCGCCUAUGAGUGGAAUACACUCGUUUAGACCUUUUUUACAUGUUGUAACUUUGGUCUCAUUUGCACUAUGUGUGCUUUUUCCCACAGAGAGGACAGGUUUCACCUCUCUGCCCCAAUACCAUCGGGGAUCUGGUGCAGUUGUAGUUCAGUUCCUGCAUCAGAUUGAUGAAGUGGAAGGUCACUUUUGUGUUCUCUAUGUUGCUCUUUGUUCUUUGUUUUUCCUGACACGCGUUACAGACAAUGCCUUAAUAGUGAAAAGACUAGCUGUCACAUUUAAGUUAAAACAGGUAGGGAGUUAUAUUAUAAAACCCCACAGAGAUUAUGGCUGAAUUGAACUUCGUAAGUUAUAAUAUAAGAGGAGUUAAUAGCCCAAUCAAAAGAAAGAAAAUCCUGGGUCAAUUAAAGAGGUUACGGUGUUCUGUUGCUCUGAUUCAAGAGACGCACUUGUCUCAAACCGAACACUUAAAACUGAAGAGAGAAUGGGUGGAUCAGGUGUACAGUGCUUCAUGUGGGAGAAGGAAGAAGAGAGGAGUUGCUAUACUAUUUCAUAAAUCGGUGUACUACAGUACUGAAAAAAUUGUUCAGGAUGAUGAAGGCCGAUAUGUCAUGGUAAUAGGCACAAUUGGAGGGAAAAAAAUAACUAUACUGAAUAUAUACGCCCCAAACGAAGACUGCCCUUUCUUUUUUAAAAAAAUAGCAACUUUGUUAGCUGACAAAAGUGAGGGGAUCAUCAUAAUAGGAGGUGACUUCAACUGCACCCUGAAUUCAAAAUUGGAUAGACUACCUGCAACCAGGAAGCCUCCAUCCAAAAUGUCUAAGGGCUUAUCAUAUAUGAUGAAAGAACUGGGUCUAGUGGACAUUUGGCGGCAGCUCCAUCCUAAUGAGAGAGAUUUCACUUAUAUGUCUCAAGUGCAUGGGAGCUACUCAAGAAUAGAUCUUUUUUGUGUAUCAAAGACAGAAAUGUAUAGAAUAAAAGACAGUACAGUCGAACCAAUUACUAUUUCAGAUCUUGGCCCUGUGACUAUGAAAAUCAACCUAGGUGCGGACAAUCACUUCAGACACUGGAGGCUUAAUGUAUCCCUGUUAACGGAUAUGAAUAUUAGGCAAGAAUUGAGGGAGGCUCUGACUGAAUACUUUAUUAUAAAUGAUGAUGGUAAUGUCUCCCCCUCAAUUGUAUGGGAGGCUAGUAAAGCCACUAUAAGAGGCAAAAUUAUUUCUAUAGUGUCCAGAAUAAAAAAAACAAAGACUCGCUAAACAACAGAGUUUGGAAGAUGAAAUAAAAAAAUUAACAAGAGAACACAAACAAUUUGGAAAGAAAGACACUUUGAAAAUACUAAAGGAAAUGAGACAACAACUGGAUAAGGUUCUGACGUAUAAAGCAGAGGGUGCCCUGAGAUUUACUAAUAGAAAAUAUUAUGAAAUGGGAAACAAGGCUAGCAGGCUUUUGGCUUUUCAACUCAGAAAAGCUCAAUCUAGCCGUGCAGUUCCAAAAAUUAGGAAUCCUGAAACCAAUCUUAUUGAGACAGAUCGCAGUAGAAUAGCAAACUCAUUUUCCACGUACUACAAACAACUAUAUAAAGCUGAAGACCUUGAAUUUAAGGAAAAAAGAAUCUUAGAGUUUUUAAAACCACUUAAAAUGAAUAAACUAUCAAAUGAGGAGAUGGAACUUUUAAUACAGCCUAUCACAGAGAGUGAAAUUAGGGAAACCAUUCUUAAAAUCAAAAACAAUAAAUCACCAGGAAUAGAUGGUUUCUCUGGAGAAUACUAUAAGAUAUUUAUGAACGAACUCACGCCUAUACUGUGCAAAUUAUAUAACUAUGUUCUAAAAUCAGGAGACCUCCCAAAUUCAUGGUCAGAAGCCAUACUAUCAGUAAUACAUAAGGAGGGAAAAGAUCCCCUCCAAUGUAAUAGCUAUCGCCCAAUAAGUUUACUCUGUGUAGAUUAUAAAAUCCUAAGCUCUAUAUUAGCAGUCAGAAUUCAAAGAAAUAUAAAAAAAUUAAUACAACCAGAUCAAACAGGGUUUAUAUUAGGACGUCAAGGAUCAAAUAAUAUAAGAAGAGCUUUAAAUCUGCAAGCAAUAGCAGCAGGAGACAGUCAACCGUCAAUGCUUCUCGGCUUAGAUGCCGAGAAGGCAUUUGAUAGGGUGGACUGGCAGUUUCUGAAACAGACACUAAUAGAAAUGGGCUUUGGGAAUAGUCACUGUUCUAGCUUUUUUAGGAUUGAACGAGGGGUGAGACAAGGAGACUCACUGUCACCCAUCUUAUUUGCUAUCAGUAUCGAGCCUCUGGCAGAGACAAUACGCCAAAAUGCUCAAAUUCAAGGGAUAACAGAUGAAGGAGGCUCAAUUCAUAAACUAGCUCUGUUCGCGGAUGACAUUUUACUUUUUGUAAAAAAUCCAUUCUCUUCCAUUCCACUUAUGAAAACCUUGCACGAAUACGGAUCAGUGUCCGGAUAUAAAAUUAAUGAAAAUAAAUCAGAAGCCAUGAUGAUUUCAGGCAUCUGGCCUACGCAACUGAAUAAUAGUGUCUCCUUUCGCUGGUCUAAACAAGGAUUUAGGUAUUUGGGAAUAAUUAUUACCCCUAAUCCCACCCAACUAUUUGAGGCAAAUUACAACAAAUUAAUUAAACAAAUUAAAAAUGAUGUGGCACGGUGGGAAAUUAUGCCACUGUCCCUCAUAGGAAGAAUAGAGACGGUAAAAAUGAAUCUACUACCGAGACUUCUCUUCUUGUUUCAAUCCCUCCCUAUUAGAGUGCCAGUUACCACAUUAAAAAUGUUAGAUAGAUUAGUUUCAACAUUUAUAUGGCAAAAGAAGAGACCAAGGAUAAGAUUGAAAUCCCUUCACCUACCUAAAGACAAGGGAGGUUUAGGUUUACCAAAUCUCAAAAGAUAUUACUGGGCUGCACAGAUAAGUGCUAUAGUGGCACGGAUCAGAAAGGACCAAGAGACAAUAUGGACUAAGAUGGAGCAAGAUUCUGUAAAGGAGGUCUCCUUAGCAGUACUCCCUUUCAUAGAUGUAAAGUCAGUUAAUAAAAUCAAAAUAAAGAACGAAUGGAUAAAACAUACCUUAAAAGUCUUGACACCUGUGAAGAAAAUGCUUAAGGGACCAAAGUCGAUCUCAGGGGCCCUAUUGAUUGUAGGAAAUAUAGAUUUCCCGCCCUCCCUAUGGGACAGUGGGUUCAGAAGGUGGGCAGACAAAGGUCUCCGUACAAUUAAUCAACUUUUUAUAGGAACGGAAUUUAAAUCAUUCUCUCAACUUCAGGAGCAAUUUGGCCUCUCAUCAAAAGAUUUUCACAGAUAUCUUCAGAUCAGGCAUUAUGUCACAAGUCACAAGGAAAAGGACAUGGUCAGAGAUAACCCCAAUGAAAUAGAAGAGUACUUAAUCAACAUUUUGGAGAAACAACACCCAACAAAAAAACAUCUAUCUAACAUAUACAAAAGACUAGUAAUGGAUGCUUAUCAAAACACGGAAUAUAUUAAAGAAAAAUGGGAACUAGAAAUGAAUGUUAUAAUUGAAGACUCUGAAUGGAAUGACGUGUGGGCAGGAUGCCAUAAGGGUAUUAAUAGUCAAUUAUGGAAAGAAUUUGAUUGGAAGGUAAAGAUUAGAUUUUUUAACACUCCCCUUAUUAUUUCUACGUACGUGAAGAAUUCCAGUGCAGCAUUAUGCUGGCGAAAUUGUGGUAAUACUGGAGACACCACACACAUUUUCUGGGAUUGCUCAGUUCUGAGUGGGUUCUGGGAUGACAUCAAAAGGGGGAUUGAUACUAUGUUGGGGAUAGAUGUUGCUCUGGAUCCAAAACUGUUUUUAUUAGGAAUUAUUCCGAAAGAUGUGUACAAUGCUGAGCAACGAUAUGUACUGCGGAUUCUUCUGCUUGUUGCGAAGAAAAUGAUAACAGUAAACUGGAGAGACGUGAAACCUCCAACCAUGGAUCAAUGGUCCCAGAGACUGAAAGAUGUCUACACAAUGGAAAAAAUGACAGCCAGUUUGCAGCUGAAAACAGACAUCUUUGAUCAGAGAUGGUCCUGCAUUGCCAGAUAUCUGGGGUUGGAAUUUUGACUACCUGUUUGUCCAUUCAUGUGUUUUUGCUUUCUUUAUGGCAGCCGGUCUCGAUACGUAUGCUUAGUGAUAUGUUGGAUGAUGUGUCAGGAAUUGUCUUGUUUUGUUAAGUGAAAAAGUUUAAAUAAAAAGUUAAAAAAAAAACAAAAAACAAACACAUUUACAUUUGUGGUUUAAACAUGACAAAAUGUAGAAAGUGGGGUGAAUACUUUUGCAAGGCACUGUAUGUACAGCCAGAGAAACUGUUCACCUUUUAAAGCUCUUUCAGCCCUCUUACUUUUCAGCUUUUCAGCCUUGUCAGCCUUUUAAAAUAGUCAUCUCUCUGCCUUUUCAGCUUCUUCUAACCCUUCAUACAGCUUUACGUUCAGCUGGAGAAACUGUUAACCUAUCAUUAGGGCCGCUACUCACGCAGAGGGGCAGAGUGUCACUCUGCCUGCUUCUUCAUGGGACCUCGCGUCAAUUAGCCACCUGGCUCCUCUGUCCACUGGUGGCUCUGGCCUGGGUGCUGCGGUUGGUGCUCUCCCUCUAUUAAAUCGAUGCUUCCUGCUUCUUCGCCCGCUCAAUGCGUCCUGUCUCUCCUCCUGCUUUCUCUUGCCACUCUUGCAAGUCUUGCCAAUCUUGCUCUCUCAGGUGUGGUGAUUGUGCCGAGGGGUGUCACAACCAGGAUAAGGUUUUUUCCAAAAAAAUCGCACAACACACUCCCAGUGUACAAUACAUGCAAUAAAAACACAAAGAUAAAAUUACACACUAAAGUCAGAAAUGUUACAAGUUAAAAACAACGGGAGCUUAAAAUGCACACAAUAAAAUUACCAUACCCAUGUGACAUGUAGAUUGCAGGGAGUUCUUCUAACUUCAGAAUACAUUGUUUAAUACCUGCAGGAGCAGCCCACCAAAUUAGAGUGGAAAAACUUCCUCAAGAGAUUGUUGGACUGCUUGCAGCUUUAAUUAUAUUUAUACUUCUUCUCUAUAUUUACACUGAAUCUUUAUAUGUAUUCUCAUAUUUAUAUUUAUAUUGCAUCUUCAUAUUUAUACUGCAUAUUUAGCUAACGCUGUCACAGUAACAGACUCCAUGUUUCCUGUCUGAUCAGAGGUCUGUUGUGACAUCACCAUGGUAACUAAUGCUGCACAUCUGACCAGGUCUGGAAGACAAGUGGUUCAGACUCUCAGCUGAUGUUAAAUACGUAAAACUGCUUCACUAAACAUUUAGCUCCUCCUCCUGAUGACAACAAUAAUCUAGCUCCGCCCUCACCUCCAACAUGGCUGACAGGAAGCUCUCAGGUGUCUCAGGUGUAACAGGUGUGUCAGGUGUAGCUCCUCCUCUGUCCUCACCUCCACAGCAGAAUGGGAGGAUCAGGGGGACGACGCCCAAGUACUCGCCACCCCACCACAACGGUAGUCUAGAGGCCGGUCUGGGAACCAGUCUCAGUGACACCAGUGCUGCUGUCUCCACCUCCCCCCUCAGGACCCUAAGGACCCUCGGGGGUUUGAUGAGUCCUGCACCAGGUCAUGGUCCUGAAGGCAACUCCGGCAGGCCCAGAGGUCAAAGUCUGGGUUCAGCUCUGAGCUCCAGAACCAGAACCAGAACCAGAACUUCACGGAGCAACCAGCGCAGCAGCCAGCAGGAGGAGCCAGAAGCCUUGUUGGACCUGAUCCUGGAUUGUCAGAGUCAGAGACUGGAGGACCAGAGAGCCAGCCUCAGCCUGCUGCCUGACCAAGGACCAGCUGCUCUGUGUGGGGCCUGCAGUCCAGACCAGGCCGGCCUGCCUGGUCAGGACUUCUACUACAUGCUGAUCCAGUACCAGUCAGACCGGAUGGACGAUCAGAGGUGUUCUCUUCCUGACAUUGAUGAUGUCGUUCAGGAGGACUUCUUCUCAUUGGUCCAGAGAGUUCAGUCGAGAAGGAUCGAUGAGCAGCGAGCUUCACUUCAAACACACACCGCCGACUCCACCCACCACCAUCAUCAUAACCAUCAUCGUCAUCAUCAGUGAUGAAGACCAGAGUCUUUCAAUGUUUUCAGUACUGUGCUGUUGUCAGCCUGUUGCUGUGGAAACGUGACCGAAGCUGAUGAUGUCACCUGCAAGUCUGACCUGGGACCAGUCAGAGGCUCACUGUGGAGUCUGUAAACAUUCAUGUUAAUGAAGAAGACUUAAGCUCAUCUUCAUCACGCCUGUUGGUUUUUAUUUGAUCCCACAGACUGAAUCAGAAAAGAUCAAUCACUUAAAUAUUAACAGUAGCCGUUAAUAGUCGUUAACAUUAGCAAUAUUUUGACAUCUGUGAAUUCUUCUUUUCUCUGUCUGGAAACAUUUUACUGAAGUGAAACAUCUCUGGUGUUCAGCUGCUCACCACCAGGUGACCUCCACCAGGUGACCUCCACCAGGUGAUUUCCUUCAGGUGACCUCCACCAGGUGACCUCCAUCAGGUGACCUCCACCAGGUGAUUUCCUUCAGGUGACCUCCACCAGGUGACCUCCAUCAAGUGACCUCCACCAGAAUGAGAUGUCUGAGUUUGAUUCAUCUGAAAGAUUAGAACAUGAAUACAAUCCUGCAGCAGAUCUGAAGAGUUCUGCUCAGGAACUCUGAAUAUAAAUGGAAUAAGGCGUUCAUUUAGGAUCUGGAUCUGGUUCUGGUUCUGUUUUCUUGUUUUCUUCAGUUCAUUUAACAAACUGACAUUUAAAACCCAGCACAUUUAAAGAUAUGUUGUUGUCUCAGCAAUGAAGAACUUCUGAAAUGUUCUGAUUGUGAUACAAAGUGAGAACCAACUUCCUCUAGUUUGUUCCAGGUUUGUGUUCUGUGUAGAACCAGGUCUCAGGUGGUUUCUGUAGUUUAAAGGUUUUGUGAAGGUGGAACAAUAAGCCAUGACCACACGUUCCAACAAUGUCAGUGAUGAUGAGGUAACCCCUCUUGGUCCUGGACCACAUGUUGAGAAACUCACCAGAAGAGGAUCCAAAAGGAACCAGAACUGAUCCAGGUCCAGAACUGAGCCAGGUCCAGUCUGAUUCAGGUCGAGAACUGAACCUGGUCCAGAGUUGAUACAGGUCCAGUCUGAUGCAGGUCCACGUCUGUGGUCUGUCUUGUUGUGUAAAUGAAUCUCAGCAGUAAAAUCAGAUUUUAACAACCUCA